rnacentral:tRNA from 1 species
GAGGAUGUAGCUCAGUUGGUAGAGUGCUUGCUUCGCAGACACAAGGUCCUGGGUCCAAUCCCCAGCAUCAUCA